rnacentral:rRNA from 1 species
UUGUGCCUACGGGGGGCAGCAGUGGGGAAUAUUGCACAAUGGGGGAAACCCUGAUGCAGCGACGCCGCGUGAGUGAAGAAGUAUUUCGGUAUGUAAAGCUCUAUCAGCAGGGAAGAUAAUGACGGUACCUGACUAAGAAGCUCCGGCUAAAUACGUGCCAGCAGCCGCGGUAAUACGUAUGGAGCAAGCGUUAUCCGGAUUUACUGGGUGUAAAGGGAGCGCAGACGGCAAGGCAAGUCUGAUGUGAAAUACCGGGGCCCAACCCCGGGGCUGCAUUGGGAACUGCCAGGCUGGAGUGCCGGAGA